UGGGGAAUAUUGGACAAUGGGGGGAACCCUGAUCCAGCCAUGCCGCGUGUGUGAAGAAGGCCUUAUGGUUGUAAAGCACUUUAAGCGAGGAGGAGGGUACUGGUAUUAAUACUACCAGGUACUGGACGUUACUCGCAGAAUAAGCACCGGCUAACUCUGUGCCAGCAGCCGCGGUAAUACAGAGGGUGCGAGCGUUAAGCGGAUUUACUGGGCGUAAAGCGUGCGUAGGCGGCUAAUUGAGUCGGAUGUGAAAUCCCCGAGCUUAACUUGGGAAUUGCAUUCGAUACUGGUUAGCUAGAGUGUGGGAGAGGAUGGUAGAAUUCCAGGUGUAGCGGUGAAAUGCGUAGAGAUCUGGAGGAAUACCGAUGGCGAAGGCAGCCAUCUGGCCUAACACUGACGCUGAGGUACGAAAGCAUGGGGAGCAAACAGG
rnacentral:rRNA from 1 species